GGAUCAUUACAGAGUUGCAAAACUCCCUAAACCAUUGUGAACGUUACCUAAACCGUUGCUUCGGCGGGCGGCCCGGGUCCUGCCCGGCGCCCCUCGGCCCUCGCGGGCGCCCGCCGGAGGAAAACCAAACUAUUGCAUUGUAUGGCCUCUCUGAGUCUUCUGUACUGAAUAAGUCAAAACUUUCAACAACGGAUCUCUUGGUUCUGGCAUCGAUGAAGAACGCAGCGAAAUGCGAUAAGUAAUGUGAAUUGCAGAAUUCAGUGAAUCAUCGAAUCUUUGAACGCACAUUGCGCCCGCCAGUAUUCUGGCGGGCAUGCCUGUUCGAGCGUCAUUUCAACCAUCAAGCCCCGGGCUUGUGUUGGGGACCUGCGGCUGCCGCAGGCCCUGAAAUGCAGUGGCGGGCUCGCUGUCACUCCGAGCGUAGUAGUUACAUCUCGCUCUGGGCGUGCUGCGGGUUCCGGCCGUUAAAAGCCUUAUUUACCCAAGGUUGACCUCGGAUCAGGUAGGAAGACCCGCUGAACUUAAGCAUAU
rnacentral:rRNA from 1 species